rnacentral:rRNA from 1 species
AGAGUUUGAUCAUGGCUCAGAGCGAACGCUGGCGGCAUGCUUAACACAUGCAAGUCGCACGGGCAGGGGCAACUCUGUCAGUGGCGGACGGGUGAGUAACGCGUAGGUAUCUAUCCUUGGGUGGGGGACAACUGUGGGAAACUACAGCUAAUACCGCAUGAUGACCGAGGUCCAAAGCUCGCGAGAGCGCCUGGGGAGGAGCCUGCGUACGAUUAGCUAGUUGGUGGGGUAAAGGCCUACCAAGGCGACGAUCGUUAGCUGGUCUGAGAGGAUGAUCAGCCACAUUGGGACUGAGACACGGCCCAAACUCCUACGGGAGGCAGCAGUGGGGAAUAUUGGACAAUGGGCGCAAGCCUGAUCCAGCAAUGCCGCGUGUGUGAAGAACUUCGGAUUGUAAAGCACUUUCGACGGGGACGAUGAUGACGGUACCCGUAGAAGAAGCCCCGGCUAACUUCGUGCCAGCAGCCGCGGUAAUACGAAGGGGGCUAGCGUUGCUCGGAAUGACUGGGCGUAAAGGGCGCGUAGGCGGAUGGCACAGUCAGAUGUGAAAUUCCCGGGCUUAACCUGGGGGCUGCAUUUGAUACGUGUUGUCUAGAGUGAGGAAGAGGGUCGUGGAAUUCCCAGUGUAGAGGUGAAAUUCGUAGAUAUUGGGAAGAACACCGGUGGCGAAGGCGGCGACCUGGUCCUUGACUGACGCUGAGGCGCGAAAGCGUGGGGAGCAAACAGGAUUAGAUACCCUAGUAGUCC